rnacentral:pre_miRNA from 1 species
CUUGUACUCCCUCCUUCCCAAAAUUCUUGUCUUAAAUUUAUCUAAAUACGAAUGUAUCAAGUCACAUUUGAGUAUUACAUACAUCUGUAUCUAGACAAAUCUAAAACAAGAAUUUUGGGAUACUAUUUAGGAACGGAGGGAGUAAUAU